rnacentral:lncRNA from 1 species
CCGCACGUGGAGGAGCCCGUACUCUGUCUGCUGUCUCCUCGCAAAGGGCUGAGCUCGCAGGCAUAAAGCUAUGGUGAUAUCAGGUGGGGGACAGACUCUCCACCUUGGAGUGGUUUUGGGCAUUAGUCACUAGGCACAGCAGGGAGAUAGGAUCUGAUGCAAAAUUUGGACUGCAGUUCUCUUGUAUUCCGGUCUGAAGGUUUUCUUCUCUGUUAUUUGCAGAAAUCCUGAAUCCUCUUCUGCAUCACAUCACAGCUUUUGCACAAGGGCUGCAAAAGACAUCUGCUGACUGAAGCCAUCAGUCUGGUGGGCUGAAACACUUUUGGUUGCAAAGAAGAGAUUAAACUUGGACUCCAUUAAGUGACUGUAGUUGGAAGGCCUGAGUUAUUCCUUUAUAUGGAGCUACUGCACACUGGAAUCAGCUGCUGUCAGCAAAAACAGCCUAUCUGAAAACCUACAAAGCUCCACAAGCCUUAACAGCUUAACAGACCACUACAGAACAGAGGUGUGAAGUUUACUGAAGUCCAAUUGAUUAAAGUCACAUGCCAGUCUUAGCUGGAAAGCAAAGAAAAGAGAUUCAAACAAUUUCAGAGGAUGUAACUAAACCACAUGUGGUUUACCAUUGAUCUUUACCAUAAAUCAGAAGAAUGAUGAAAACUGUGGAAAAAGGUAAUGAGAAUAAAGAAAAACUACUGUUUGCUCCCACAAAAGCACCAAGAAGUCUCAGCAUAUGGACUUCAUGCAAGGUAGUUUUCUCCUUUCUUUCCCUUGGGAUGAUUUCUGUAUUACACAGGAGGGGAAGAUUGGAGAGAUCAUAUUUUCUCUCAUCAACAUUUGUUUCAAUUCUCCAAUUCCAUUCCCAAUUGCUCUUCUCCCUGACUGAUGCAUAACAUCACAGCUGACAAGAUAGAAACAAUUUCCUCAUGGAAAAAAUUCAUGAAACCUACAUCUCCUCCUGUAGGUCUGUAGGUGUUCUCUUUUCUCUUCCUACAUACACUAUGGAAACCAUCAUUCUAUUUAACACUUAAUAUUGAAUCAAAGCCCAGAGAUUUUAAAACUUUAAACUACUGUGCACCAUCUACAGACAGACCCUUUGAAACUGUAUGGGAUUCAGAUGGAACUGUAAACAAUAUGUGAAAUAUUUUCCAAGACAGAGAAAUCCUAUUAUUAAAUUUAGAGCUAAUCAAAUAUCAUAUGUCAGUAUGAAACAAUCAAGACAGCACCUUACAGGCAUCUGCCAGUUUGCUUUAAAUAUCUGAUCACAGCAAAGGCCAGCACAAUUGAUGGGAUAGUUAUCUGCUACUGAACUUUAGUGCACAGAAAUAAAUUCAUUUUCAUCCAACA